GAUGGACGCUGGCGGCGUGCCUAAUACAUGCAAGUCGAGCGAACGGACGAGAAGCUUGCUUCUCUGAUGUUAGCGGCGGACGGGUGAGUAACACGCGGAUAACCUACCUAUAAGACUGGGAUAACUUCGGGAAACCGUAGCUAAUACCGGAUAAUAUUUUGAACCGCAUGGUUCAAAAGUGAAAGACGGUCUUGCUGUCACUUAUAGAUGGAUCCGCGCUGCAUUAGCUAGUUGGUAAGGUAACGGCUUACCAAGGCAACGAUGCAUAGCCGACCUGAGAGGGUGAUCGGCCACACUGGAACUGAGACACGGUCCAGACUCCUACGGGAGGCAGCAGUAGGGAAUCUUCCGCAAUGGGCGAAAGCCUGACGGAGCAACGCCGCGUGAGUGAUGAAGGUCUUCGGAUCGUAAAACUCUGUUAUUAGGGAAGAACAUAUGUGUAAGUAACUGUGCACAUCUUGACGGUACCUAAUCAGAAAGCCACGGCUAACUACGUG
rnacentral:rRNA from 1 species